UGCUGCUUCCUGGAGGAAGACAGUCACUCUGUCUCUGCCAACCCAGUUGACCGCAGACAUGCAGGUCUGCUCAGGAAAAGCUUUGGAUCACAAUUCCCAGUGCUGAAGAAAAGGCCAAACUCUGGAAAAAAUUUUGAAUAUUUUGAGCCAAAUAUGGAAACGUUUUCUUCCAAAUUGUGCUGCACGUUUUUGGCGAGAGCAUGGGGCUGUGCGGCGUCCCCUCCCUGGCGCCCACCUGUGCCCUGCACACUGGCCUGCACUGUGGUGAUCUCGCUUGGCCCCCACCUGAUUCCCGACAUACAGCAGAGGAACCUUAGGCUCAGGUGGAACAGCCUCAACUGAUUCUGUCCCUGAACUUCCGUACACAGCCCUGGAGUCGUCUUAGAGCCAUGAUUUAUUUAACUGUUCUUUCAUUUUACAGAACAUAAAAUGUAUUGUUUCCAACUUUUUUCCUAUGGUAAAUAAUACUAAAGUAAAUAUCUCUGUGCAUGAAUCUUUUUGUAUAUGUUGGAAUAUCCUUAAGAUAAGGCCCCAGAACUAAAAGUACCCUGUCAAAAGGUGAGCAUUUCCGGUUCCCCUGCUGUGCUUUGCUGCGUUGUUCUCUCCUGCUGCAACGUUCUCACUCCACAAUCCUGGGGCAGGGAGGGGAGGCCCAGCUGAGUUUGGAUCAUAA
rnacentral:lncRNA from 1 species